AAGAAGGCCUUCGGGUUGUAAAGCACUUUUGUCCGGAAAGAAAUCCCCUGCCCGAAUACGGCGGGGGGAUGACGGUACCGGAAGAAUAAGCACCGGCUAACUACGUGCCAGCAGCCGCGGUAAUACGUAGGGUGCGAGCGUUAAUCGGAAUUACUGGGCGUAAAGCGUGCGCAGGCGGUGCUGUAAGACCGAUGUGAAAUCCCCGGGCUUAACCUGGGAACUGCAUUGGUGACUGCAGCGCUGGAGUAUGGCAGAGGGGGGUGGAAUUCCACGUGUAGCAGUGAAAUGCGUAGAGAUGUGGAGGAACACCGAUGGCGAAGGCAGCCCCCUGGGCCAAUACUGACGCUCAUGCACGAAAGCGUGGGGAGCAAACAGGAUUAGAUACCCUGGUAGUCCACGCCCUAAACGAUGUCAACUGGUUGUCGGGCCUUCAUUGGCUUGGUAACGUAGCUAACGCGUGAAGUUGACCGCCUGGGGAGUACGGUCGCAAGAUUAAAACUCAAAGGAAUUGACG
rnacentral:rRNA from 1 species